UGGGCAGUGGAGACCGGGUAACUCUGAACCAGGGCCCAGAGAACACAGGGCAAGGCAUGGAGAUGGGCGAGAAGACUCAACACUCAGCAUGAGUUGGUGCCACAAUGGAGGGGCCAGAUAAGCAAUCAGGGCCCCGGGCUGUAUCAACAGAGGCAAAGCGUUCAGAGCAAGGGAGAUACAUCAGCAAACACGUGGUGAGAACAGGAAGACUGCGAGACAAGAAAAUGAAUGAAACUCCAAUCCGCAAUGUAUUCAAGGAGUUUUACUGCCCUAGGAAAAGGUUCAUAUUCCAAGAAAGAAGUUGAGGAGGGCCACCUUUCUUCCUGCAGCCUUAAUUUCAGAAAGUGUUUCUCUGAGAGGCCCCUUCGGCCCAGCAUGGUUGGGGGAUGGAGUUGAACUUGCCCUUGGGUCCCUGACACCUCGCACACGGAAGAAGCAACACUGCAUUGAGUUGCCCAUGGAUAAUGACAGCAUGGCAACAUUGACAUGUGAGAAAGCAGAAAGUUCGAGCUUCCAGAAACUCGCUCAGCAGCCUACUCCCAGCCGCCCGAGGCCUGCGGCACAGCCAGCCACACUGCCAGCACAGCCCACUUCACCCAUCAGUCACAGGAGUCCCGGCAGGAGGAGUCCUAGGCCUGGACCACAGCGGUACCUGACACAUGGCAGCGGGAAAGUGAUGUUCUGGAGGCCGGAGUCUGGAAUCACGGUGUCAGCAGGGCCACGCCACCUCUGAAAGCUCCAGCAGUGCCUCUCCCAGCUUCUGGGGACCCAGGUGCUCCUUGGCUUGUGGUUACAUCACACUCCUCUCUGCCUCUGUGUUCACACGACCUCCUUCCCUGUGUGGCUCGAAACUUCCUCUGCCUCUGUCGUAUAAGAACCCCUGUUACUGGAUGUAGCGCCCACCCGGAUUAUCCAGAGUAUCCCGUCUCGAGAUU